rnacentral:rRNA from 1 species
AUUGAACGCUGGCGGCAGGCCUAACACAUGCAAGUCGAGCGAGCGGCGGACGGGUGAGUAAUGUAUGGGGAUCUGCCCGAUGGAGGGGGAUAACUACUGGAAACUGUAGCUAAUACCGCGUACCAUCGGAUGUGCCCAAGUGGGAUUAGGUAGUUGGUGGGGUAAAGGCUCACCAAGCCGACGAUCUCUAGCUGGUCUGAGAGGAUGACCAGCCACACUGGGACUGAGACACGGUCCAGACUCCUACGGGAGGCAGCAGUGGGGAAUAUUGCGCAAUGGGGGCAACCCUGAUGCAGCCAUGCCGCGUGAAUGAAGAAGGCCUUCGGGUUGUAAAGUACUUUCGGUAGCGAGGCGUUAACCACAGAAGAAGCACCGGCUAACUCCGUGCCAGCAGCCGCGGUAAUAC